CCUACGGGUGGCAGCAGUGAGGAAUAUUGGUCAAUGGUCGUGAGACUGAACCAGCCAAGUAGCGUGAAGGAUGACGGCCCUAUGGGUUGUAAACUGCUUUUAUGAGGGAAUAAAACGCGGCACGUGUGCCGGUUUGUAGGUACCGUAUGAAUAAGGAUCGGCUAAUUCCGUGCCAGCAGCCGCGGUAAUACGGAGGAUCCGGGCGUUAUCCGGAUUUAUUGGGUUUAAAGGGAGCGUAGGCGGGUUGUUAAGUGUGCUGUGAAAGGCCGGGGCUCAACCAUGGAACUGCGGGUCAAACUGGCAGUCUUGAGUAGGAGUGAGGUAGGCGGAAUUCGUGGUGUAGCGGUGAAAUGCUUAGAUAUCGCGAAGAACUCCGAUUGCGAAGGCAGCAUACAGCAGCGCUACUGACGCUGAUGCUCGAAGGCGCGGGUAUCGAACAGGAUUAGAUACCCGAGUAGUC
rnacentral:rRNA from 1 species